rnacentral:rRNA from 1 species
AUUGAACGCUGGCGGCAUGCCUAACACAUGCAAGUCGAACGCGAAAGGGCUUCGGCCUGAGUAGAGUGGCGGACGGGUGAGUAAUGCAUGGGAAUCUGCCUGGCAGAGGGGGAUAACUCGGGGAAACUCGGGCUAAUACCGCAUACGCCCUACGGGGGAAAGGGGGCUUCGGCUCUCGUUGCCAGAUGAGCCCAUGUCCGAUUAGCUAGUUGGUGGGGUAAAGGCCCACCAAGGCGACGAUCGGUAGCUGGUCUGAGAGGAUGACCAGCCACACUGGGACUGAGACACGGCCUAGACUCCUACGGGAGGCAGCAGUGGGGAAUAUUGGACAAUGGGGGAAACCCUGAUCCAGCAAUGCCGCGUGGGUGAAGACGGCCUGCGGGUUGUAAAGCCCUUUCGGUGGGAAAGAAAAGCCAGUGGUUAAUACCCACUGGUAUUGACGUUACCCACAGAAGAAGCACCGGCUAACUCCGUGCCAGCCGCCGCAGUAA